AAGAUAACUCACUGUUUGUACUUUAAGUUUGGCAUUCGUAAAACUUUAUCUUACUGCAAAUAUAUGUUUACUUAGCUCCGCUACGAGUCGCUAGGUAAACUCUGAAUUUUACAUAGGCCAGACUUAAAAAAAAUACAGUUAUCUCCUAAUUGAUAUUUCUUUCAAAAUUUUAUGCGAAAAAGCCGACAAUCUAUACAAAAUGUUUUACUAACCCCAAACAAUGGAAGUGAUUUAUGAAUACUAGUAUAACAUUAAAAUUCAUGUUCUUAACGUCUAGAUUCAUUAGUGGAUGUAUCAUAGAAAUAAGAAUACGUGGUAUGAUUGUCAAUGAGACAACUCGCCAUCCAAACUCACUGUGUAAAAAGUUUACAAUCAUUGGUCAAAAUACAACAUUCAACACGGAACCGUGUCUCACACCGAAGAGCACGCUAUUAAGGUCCCAAAAAUUACUAAUGUAAACAAUUCAAACAGAAAAACCAACGGUCUAAUCUACACUAAAACAAACGAGAAACGCGAAACACCAAUGCACCACAUCAUCAAACGGCAACCACUAAACAGCAAAUUCCUGAUAUAGGACAGGUGCAGCGGGUUUAAAUGUUUUUUUACAGACGACAAGCUUUACCCUAACCUGAAAUGGUAGUGUAACAUUACAAGAUAGAACAACAAACAAUGAAAUAUCAAUGGAAAUGGAUGGUUUAACUUAAUCAAAACGACAUGUUAACAAAAAAAAAACCAAGUAAAAACACACUGAACGGAUAAAUAUGAUCUAUGACACAAUAUAAAUACAAAAUUAAUAAAAAAAAAAAAGGGGCGAUAAAAAUCAAUGUAAAAAAGUCAACUAUAACCUUGGAUAAAAAAUCGCUAAAUGAAAAGUCAAAGCAAUCUCAAUAUAGAAAAUGAACAUAAAUGAAACAUUCGGAAAAAAAAUUACAAAUUUAGUUAUGUUUUAAUUUGAUGAUGACAAC
rnacentral:lncRNA from 1 species